GACGAACGCUGGCGGCGUGCCUAACACAUGCAAGUCGAGCGAGUGAAUCUCCUUCGGGAAUGAAGCUAGCGGCGGACGGGUGAGUAACACGUGGGCAACCUGCCUCAUAGAGGGGAAUAGCCUUUCGAAAGGAAGAUUAAUACCGCAUAAGAUUGUAGCUUCGCAUGAAGUAGCAAUUAAAGGAGCAAUCCGCUAUGAGAUGGGCCCGCGGCGCAUUAGCUAGUUGGUGAGGUAACGGCUCACCAAGGCGACGAUGCGUAGCCGACCUGAGAGGGUGAUGGGCCACAGUGGGACUGAGACACGGCCCAGACUCCUACGGGAGGCAGCAGUGGGGAAUAUUGCACAAUGGGGGAAACCCUGAUGCAGCAACGCCGCGUGAGUGAUGACGGCCUUCGGGUUGUAAAGCUCUGUCUUCAGGGACGAUAAUGACGGUACCUGAGGAGGAAGCCACGGCUAACUACGUGCCAGCAGCCGCCGUAA
rnacentral:rRNA from 1 species